rnacentral:rRNA from 1 species
AUUGAACGCUGGCGGCAUGCCUUACACAUGCAAGUCGAACGGCAGCACGGAGCUUGCUCUGGUGGCGAGUGGCGAACGGGUGAGUAAUAUAUCGGAACGUACCCUAGAGUGGGGGAUAACGUAGCGAAAGUUACGCUAAUACCGCAUACGAUCUAAGGAUGAAAGUGGGGGAUCGCAAGACCUCAUGCUCGUGGAGCGGCCGAUAUCUGAUUAGCUAGUUGGUAGGGUAAAAGCCUACCAAGGCAUCGAUCAGUAGCUGGUCUGAGAGGACGACCAGCCACACUGGAACUGAGACACGGUCCAGACUCCUACGGGAGGCAGCAGUGGGGAAUUUUGGACAAUGGGCGAAAGCCUGAUCCAGCAAUGCCGCGUGAGUGAAGAAGGCCUUCGGGUUGUAAAGCUCUUUUGUCAGGGAAGAAACGGUGGGAGCUAAUAUCUCUUGCUAAUGACGGUACCUGAAGAAUAAGCACCGGCUAACUACGUGCCAGCAGCCGCGGUAAUACGUAGGGUGCAAGCGUUAAUCGGAAUUACUGGGCGUAAAGCGUGCGCAGGCGGUUUUGUAAGUCUGAUGUGAAAUCCCCGGGCUCAACCUGGGAAUUGCAUUGGAGACUGCAAGGCUAGAAUCUGGCAGAGGGGGGUAGAAUUCCACGUGUAGCAGUGAAAUGCGUAGAUAUGUGGAGGAACACCGAUGGCGAAGGCAGCCCCCUGGGUCAAGAUUGACGCUCAUGCACGAAAGCGUGGGGAGCAAACAGGAUUAGAUACCCUGGUAGUCCACGCCCUAAACGAUGUCUACUAGUUGUCGGGUCUUAAUUGACUUGGUAACGCAGCUAACGCGUGAAGUAGACCGCCUGGGGAGUACGGUCGCAAGAUUAAAACUCAAAGGAAUUGACGGGGACCCGCACAAGCGGUGGAUGAUGUGGAUUAAUUCGAUGCAACGCGAAAAACCUUACCUACCCUUGACAUGGCUGGAAUCCUUGAGAGAUCAGGGAGUGCUCGAAAGAGAACCAGUACACAGGUGCUGCAUGGCUGUCGUCAGCUCGUGUCGUGAGAUGUUGGGUUAAGUCCCGCAACGAGCGCAACCCUUGUCAUUAGUUGCUACGAAAGGGCACUCUAAUGAGACUGCCGGUGACAAACCGGAGGAAGGUGGGGAUGACGUCAAGUCCUCAUGGCCCUUAUGGGUAGGGCUUCACACGUCGUACAAUGGUACAUACAGAGCGCCGCCAACCCGCGAGGGGGAGCUAAUCGCAGAAAGUGUAUCGUAGUCCGGAUUGUAGUCUGCAACUCGACUGCAUGAAGUUGGAAUCGCUAGUAAUCGCGGAUCAGCAUGUCGCGGUGAAUACGUUCCCGGGUCU